AACCCUUGUUUUGUGUUGCCAGCAUGCCCUUCGGGGUGAUGGGGACUCACAGGAGACUGCCGGGGUCAACUCGGAGGAAGGUGGGGACGACGUCAAGUCAUCAUGCCCCUUAUGUCUUGGGCUGCACACGUGCUACAAUGGCCGGUACAAUGAGCUGCGAUACCGCGAGGUGGAGCGAAUCUCAAAAAGCCGGUCUCAGUUCGGAUUGGGGUCUGCAACUCGACCCCAUGAAGUCGGAGUUGCUAGUAAUCGCAGAUCAGCAUUGCUGCGGUGAAUACGUUCCCGGGCCUUGUACACACCGCCCGUCACGUCACGAAAGUCGGUAACACCCGAAGCCGGUGGCCCAACCCCUUG
rnacentral:rRNA from 1 species